UCGAGGGAUGUUUCCAGAUAGUCUGUAUUGGUACUGCUGAGUAUCUUUGGCUGUGUUGACUAAUCGCCGAUGCCCAAACGCAUAAGAAAGGAGCGGGUUUACACGUAGGCUGUACCAAGGAGGAGUUUAAACGUGCUUCCUGCAAGCUCACCGCUGCGGGGAACACGGUUGGUUUGUGGAUGCAGCUUGGCUGAGUACCGUAUAGGUGUUUAACAGUUUCGUACAAUAAAUUGCAAACCGGGUUGACUUAUUAUUUAUUUGUUUUAUCACAAGACACGUGACCCAUCUUCCCCUUUCGCUGUUUACACCGGAUCAGCCCUCCCCAAUGAAAUAUUUAGCGAAAGCCGCUUUUGUUGUCCAGAACUUAAGGCCCCAGGUGAUCCAGGCGGUAAAUUAGUGAGAAGUUCCCGACAGCAAACGCCCAAGAAGCGGUUGUAACUCGCGCUUCAUCACCGGAGACCCAGUACUUUACUGACAAGUGGCCCAGAGCGAGCCCCCUGUAGAAGCAGUGCCGACCCUCCAGCGAGGAUGGUGUGUGAGCUGUUCCUCCUGUCCUCUGUCUGGCUCCUUUUUGUCAUCUUCUGGAUGGAGACCAUCAGUGUCUGGCUCUUCUUGUGCAACUUCUAUCAAGAUCGGGCCUUCUAUCACUGGGGAUAUGGAGUUUUUGCAGAUGACCCAGGACACAUGCUGUACAUGUUUGGAAGGAUUGAAGGUUCUGGCUGAAUGCAAACAUGAAGUGAGAUGUCAAUGGAAAGGGGGAAUUUUUUUUUUUUUUUUUUUUUUUAAUAAAUUUCAGUGUGCAUAACAACGCCCAAAAAACAGACAUUUGUGAAAUCAGGAGCUUUUAUAGGGGGGAUAUCAGUACGGGAUUUGAUGCCUCCCUAGGACUCUAGUCACCACAAGGUGUUUCGCAGCAGCAGCCACAAAGGGACACCCAAGAAUUCUAUCACAGAGUGUCUCACAAGGAUAGGGUUCAAUUUUAUAUAUUCAAAUAAAAUGGUAAAGCCUAUUUGGACAAAGUUACCAACCUUAAAUGCGUCCUUCAUAGUGGAUUGGAGUCCUCUAUGUGAAAUGGUUAACGAGAAUCCUACAGGUACACCUUUCAACUGCUAACCCUGCAUAGCUCUCUACGUGCGUCUUAUAUUUCAGUAGAUAGCUUGGCCUUUCUGUGAGACAGACCUUGAUUUGAUCAUUUUGUCAGAACCAGACUCUUUUAGAGACUGCAGAAUGACAGUGUUUUAAUUAUUAUUUUUAUCAUAGUUGUGGAAGAUUAUGGUUUCAAGUAAGGUUGCUAAAACAUGGAAAAUAAUGUAGAAUUUAGUACGAUGGUUUUUAUUCCUAACAGUUUGCACCAAAAACUUAACUUGAGAUCUGCUGGACAGGGCAGCAACUGGAGAAAGAACAGUUUGAGCAGAGUUUUGUUUAUUAACUGCUAGAGAGUGAGCAUUAUAACAACCUGGAACUACAGCCUGCCCUCCCUUAUUCAGUUUUCAACUUUUCCUCCAUGAAAAACAUUGUUUUAAAUAUAAAUUCUGAUUCUGAGUGGUCCAAGAUGAUAUUAUCUUUAAACAAAAUGACCAAUAAGUAUUCAGUCUAGUUUUAAGUAACGACCGAUUUUUAAUUUCUUUGGACCAGCUACAAAGCCAUCUUUAAAAGGAUAUAUGUGGACGUCGGGCACAGACCCAAAUACAAGCAAACUUCUUGAAGCAAUGUUUAAUUGUACAUAUCUGAGCAAAAGAGAAGGGACUGGUUUACCAGUGUUUAAUGGUAUGGUAUCACACAACCCAGUCUUUGAGGUCCUGAACACAUGGCAGUGUUACUUGUGUUCUUGAGUGCAAGAUUUGAGUUGGAACAAUAAAACCUGCAUCCGUUAGUGGUAUACCUUGCAUGCUGUGCGUUUUCAAUUCACACUUACACACUUUAUAGAACUGCAGUGUCCAGCUUGAAUAACUGGAAUAAAUGUACAAUAUAAUUAACUUUUAAUUUUUUUCUUAUGAUUUUGCCAAGCAUUUCUUUAAGCUUUAAAGGGAUUACAAUUGUGUAAAAGUGGCGCGUUUCUUGUGUUUAAGUAAGACUUCAGAUGUAUGCCUACUUGCUACAUAGAUGAAACUCUUGAACCCUGUCGAUUUCUUCUUCUGUUGGGCUUUUCCAUAUGGAAAUACAGUGGCUUGACAUUUUAUGUAGGUGCUAACUUGUAUACAUGGAGUUUAAAACCUUUCAAAUAAGACCUUGCAUGAAAGCAGUCAAUUGAGUGAGUUUUUAAUACCCUUCCAUUAUUGUAAUGGGGAACGCACAUUGUAGAUUACUGUACAAUCUCAAAAUACUGUUUAAAUGUUUUUUUUUUUUUUAAGAAACAAUAGAGUUCAAAUUCAGAUUUUCUUUAAGGAUUGCUCCUGAUGAAAUGUAGUUAGAAAAAUAGUUGAAAUUAAACUUAAAAAAAAAAAAAAAAGGAUUUUAAAGUUAUUUCAGACAAAAAUAACCGAAUGUAAAAUAAAAAAAAAAAAAAAAUCUGUUUUUAAAGGAUUUGGACUGUGAAGUCUGACGUGUUGAAAUUCAUGAACUGCAAUAGUUGUACUGUGUAUAACUUCUCAAAGCCCUGAACAUGCUUAUGAUUACAAUAUGCCUCUUACUUUAAACAGAAUUGGGUUUGUUUUGUUCAUUUUUUUUGUAAAGUGUUUUUUUUUUUUUUUUUUUCUUUUUUUUUUAAAACUUUCAUGGAUUAUAAAUAUGGUGAAUGUUUCAAUGGAUAUCAAAAGUAAGUGUGCCAGACAGUCUGUCAGCAUCUGUGUCUGGAACAUGUUACAUGCUUAAACUGUUUUGGUUUCUGUACUUUUGGUCAACUUGAAGUGGGGAAAUAGUUUGUAUAAUGAUUGUAAAAAAAAAAAAAAAAAAAAAGAUAAGAUUACAUUUUCUAUAUCUGAUACAUGCUUUAUGUUACACAUUGCUAGAAUUA